UUGUGUUGUGACCUUUCAGCUUGUUCCAUAUUCUUCUUCUUCGCCAUGGAAUCGGUGCAGCUCACCUUCGAUCAACCAAUUGACACCGCCGUACACGGCCUCUUCCUCCGCCUUGACUCUUUAUCAAACCUCCGCUCAUCUCUCAUUAUCUUCUCCGAUCAGUCUUCCGGCGAGCCUCCGUCGUUAAUGCGAACAAACUUCAUUUCGGCUUACCCUCUCAAUUCAGACACACUCGAUUAUCCUCUCAAAUCGUGGGACGCGAUGAUGAUUGAAGUGGUUGGAUGCAGAUGAUUCUUGAAGGUAAGUUGAAGAUGCAUCGAGGAAGAAAUUGAGUAUUUUGAAGACUCAGAGAGAAUGCGAAGGUUGGAGAUGAAGGUGUUCUGUUAUCGGUUUGUUAAGAUUCUUCUUUCAGCUCUUUCUUGUCGUCGUAUUCUAUUAUCUGUAAUGCAGAAUGUGAAUUUCUCGCAGGAUGAAUGAUGAUGGGGGCUCUUGAAGAUUGAUUGCAGAUGAUGAAGUAUGUGAAGGAGUUUGAUGAAUGGUGAGAGAAGUUGAAGAAUAUGAAUGAGGAAGACUGAGAAGUGAUGGAAAAUGGUGGAUGGUGUUGAUUGAUGAAGAUGAUGAGAGGCUCAAGGUGAGAAAAACGGGAGAGAGUGAAUGUGAUGAAUGAUGAAGAAGUUGCAGAGAGAAUGAAGUGAAGUGAGUGAUGAAGGUGAAGUGAAUUGUGUCGAAAUGAAGAUGAGGUGAAGGAAGCUCUUUGUAGUGUGGGGAUCCUGCUUUAUAGAGGUUCAGGGCUGCUAGUAUAUUGGGGAUUGUUUGUAUGUGCUAUGGGCUGAUAUGUAUAGGUGUAAUUGUUCUAAUUUGCAGGAUUUUGUUUGUGUAUGAUUUUAGGGUUUUAAUAAAUGAUGAUUGCAUUUUUGAUUGCAGGUUAGUGGCAUUGAUGAUACGGAUGUGUUGCUGCCUUGUGUUGUUGAAUACCUUGAACUUCGAAUCGAGGGGAUAUGUGUGGCUUAAAAAGAGAUGGAAUGUGAAGCAUGGAGUCAUAGCAUGGCUUGGAAUGAUGAAGCUAAAAAUGGAGUCUGAACUUUUGUAAAAAAUGGGUUUUAAUGUAGCUCUCAUUUUUACUCCACUUUGUAAUGGACUUCUUGUUUGUAAUUUAGAACUUGACUU